rnacentral:rRNA from 1 species
GAUGAACGCUGGCGGCGUGCCUAACACAUGCAAGUCGAACGGAGUCCAGCCUUUAAGACCUUCGGGUCAAAGAGGGGAAGACUGAGUGGCGGACGGGUGAGUAACACGUGGGCAACCUGGCUCAUAGAGGGGGAUAACAGAGAGAAAUUUCUGCUAAUACCGCAUAAGCACACACUGCCGCAUGGCAGAGGGUGAAAAGAGAAUUGCUAUGAGAUGGACCCGCGUCUGAUUAGCCAGUUGGCAGGGUAAGAGCCUACCAAAGCGACGAUCAGUAGCCGAUCUGAGAGGAUGAACGGCCACAUUGGGACUGAGACACGGCCCAAACUCCUACGGGAGGCAGCAGUGGGGGAUAUUGCACAAUGGGGGGAACCCUGAUGCAGCGACGCCGCGUGAGUGAAGAAGUAUUUCGGUAUGUAAAGCUCUAUCAGCAGGGAAGAUAAUGACAGUACCUGAAUAAGAAGCCCCGGCUAACUACGUG